rnacentral:rRNA from 1 species
GAUGAACGCUGGCGGCGUGCCUAAUACAUGCAAGUCGAGCGAACAGACGAGGAGCUUGCUCCUCUGACGUUAGCGGCGGACGGGUGAGUAACACGUGGAUAACCUACCUAUAAGACUGGGAUAACUUCGGGAAACCGGAGCUAAUACCGGAUAACAUGUUGAACCGCAUGGUUCAACAGUGAAAGACGGUCUUGCUGUCACUUAUAGAUGGACCCGCGCCGCAUUAGCUAGUUGGUAAGGUAACUGCUUACCAAGGCAACGAUGCGUAGCCGACCUGAGAGGGUGAACGCCUACACUGGAACUGAGACACGGCCCAGACUCCUACAGGGGGAAGCAGUCGGGAAUCCUCCGCGAUGGACGAAUGCCUGACGGAGCACCGCCGCGUGAGUGCAGAUGGUCUUCGGAUCGUAAAACUCUGUUAUUAGGGAAGAACAAAUGUGUAAGUAACUAUGCACGUCUUGACGGUACCUAAUCAGAAAGCCCCGGCUAACUCCGUG